rnacentral:rRNA from 1 species
AUUGAACGCUGGCGGCAUGCUUUACACAUGCAAGUCGAACGGUAACAGGCCUUCGGGUGCUGACGAGUGGCGCACGGGUGAGUAAUGCAUCGGAACGUACCCAGAGGUGGGGGAUAACGCAGCGAAAGCUGUGCUAAUACCGCAUGUGAUCUGAGGAUGAAAGCGGGGGACCGAGCAGCAAUGUUUGGCCUCGCGCCUUUGGAGCGGCCGAUGUCGGAUUAGCUAGUUGGUGGGGUAAAGGCCUACCAAGGCGACGAUCCGUAGCUGGUCUGAGAGGACGACCAGCCACACUGGGACUGAGACACGGCCCAGACUCCUACGGGGGGCAGCAGUGGGGAAUUUUGGACAAUGGGCGCAAGCCUGAUCCAGCAAUGCCGCGUGCGGGAAGAAGGCCUUCGGGUUGUAAACCGCUUUUGGCAGGAACGAAACGGUGUCCGCUAAUACCGGGCGCUAAUGACGGUACCUGCAGAAUAAGCACCGGCUAACUACGUG